rnacentral:misc_RNA from 1 species
GCAAACUUGGUCAUUUAGAGGAAGUAAAAGUCGUAACAAGGUUUCCGUAGGUGAACCUGCGGAAGGAUCAUUACCGAAUCGUCAAACACGGGUUGUUGCUGGCCUCCAAACGGGGGCAUGUGCACGCUCUGUUUACACAUCCACUCACACCUGUGCACCCUCUGUAGUUCUGUGGUUCGGGAGACCUGUCCCCCUUCCACGGCUCUACGUCUUUACACACACACACCGUAGCGAUGUCUCAUGGAAUGUUUUUCUGCGUUUAACGCAAUACAAUACAACUUUCAGCAACGGAUCUCUUGGCUCUCGCAUCGAUGAAGAACGCAGC